rnacentral:lncRNA from 1 species
CUUUUUAUUACAUUGGCAAAUGGCUUUUUUUAUGAAAUUAAUGUAGAAAAUGUAAGGAACUAUAUCUUUUUCCUACGCAUUGACAAUUUGUUUUGAUCCGACGUUGUCGACGUCUUGACAACGCCUAUUGUUGUAUGACGUCAGAGAGUGAAAUAACCACGUUUAUUUCACAUGUGAAAUUAUCGGUUUUUAUCUAACUGGGAAAUCAAUGUAAUUCAUUGCAACCAAUGUAAUAAUAAUAUUUAUUUGUGUCCUGGCAAUAUCACAAGAACCAUUACUGAUGAAUGGUGAAAGUGAAAAUCGUCAAUAUCAAAUUUGACCUCCAUUUUGUCAUCAGUAUCAACAUCUUAAAAUUUGAAAAGCUUAGAUUGAAUGGUUCAUGAAUAAAUGCAACAACGUGAAUGGAAACGCCAUUUCACAAUCUUUCAAGAACCAUAACUCCUGAACGGUAAACGUC